UACGUAGGUGGCAAGCGUUGUCCGGAAUCAUUGGGCGUAAAGAGCGUGUAGGCGGCUCGAUAAGUCUGCUGUGAAAGUCCAGGGCUCAACCCUGGAAGGCCGGUGGAAACUGUCGGGCUAGAGUUCGGAAGAGGCGAGUGGAACUCCUGGUGUAGCGGUGAAAUGCGCAGAUAUCAGGAAGAACACCAAUGGCGAAGGCAGCUCGCUGGGACGCGACUGACGCUGAGACGCGAAAGCGUGGGGAGCAAACAGG
rnacentral:rRNA from 1 species